AGAUGCAAACCUGGAUUUUUUAAUCUAGACUCAUCUAAUCCUAGGGGUUGCACACCCUGCUUCUGCUUUGGGCAUUCUUCUGUCUGUACAAAUGCCGUUGGCUACAGUGUUUACUCUAUAACCUCUACCUUUCAGAUUGAUGAGGAUGGGUGGCGUGUAGAACAAAGGGAUGGCUCAGAAGCAUCACUUGAGUGGUCCCCUGAGAGGCAAGAUAUUGCCGUCACCUCAGAUAGCUACUUUCCUAGGUACUUCAUUGCUCCUGCAAAGUUCCUGGGCAAGCAGGUGUUGAGUUAUGGUCAAAACUUCUCCUUCUCCUUUCGAGUGGACAGGCGGGACACUCGCCUCUCUGCAGAAGACCUGGUGCUUGAGGGAGCUGGCCUACGAGUGUCUGUGCCCUUGAUUGCUCAGGGCAAUUCCUAUCCUAGUGAGACCACUGUGAAAUACUUC